rnacentral:rRNA from 1 species
UACGGAGGGUGCAAGCGUUGCUCGGAAUUACUGGGCGUAAAGCGCGUGUAGGCGGUCUCGUGUGUCUGGCGUGAAAGCCCCGGGCUCACCCCGGGAAGUGCGUUGGAAACUGCGAGACUAGAGUUCCGGAGAGGAAGGUGGAAUUACAGGUGUAGCGGUGAAAUGCGUAGAUAUCUGGAAGAACACCGGUGGCGAAGGCGGCCUUCUGGACGGUGACUGACGCUGAGACACGAAAGCGUGGGGAGCAAACAUG